UGAGGAAUAUUGGGCAAUGCCCGCAAGGGUGACCCAGCAACGCCGCGUGGAGGAUGAAUGUCGUAAGAUUGUAAACUCCUGUUAGAGGGGAAGAAUAGUACCGGUUGGACCGGUAUAUGACUGUACCCUCAGAGAAAGCCCCGGCUAACUACGUGCCAGCAGCCGCGGUAGUACGUAGGGGGCAAGCGUUGUCCGGAUUUACUGGGUGUAAAGGGCGCGCAGGCGGGAUAAAAAGUCAGUGGUGAAAUCCUACAGCUUAACUGUAGAACUGCCUUUGAUACUUUUAUUCUUGAGUUCGGGAGAGAGAGACGGAAUUACAGGUGUAGUGGUGAAAUACGUAGAUAUCUGGAAGAACACCAGUUGCGAAGGCGGUCUCUUGGUCCGACACUGACGCUGAGGCGCGAAAGCGUGGGGAGCAAACA
rnacentral:rRNA from 1 species